UACAGAGGGGGCAAGCGUUGUCCGGACUUACUGGGUGUAAAGCGCAUGCAGGUGGCUGUGCAAGUAUGCUGUGAAAGCCCCGUGCUUAACACGGGGAGGCCAGUAUAGACUGCACGGCUCGAGGACUGCAGAGGGUAGGGGAAUUGCUGGUGUAGUGGUGAAAUGCGUAGAUAUCUGGAGGAACACCGGUGGCGAAGGCGGCAUCCUGGACCGGUAUUGACGCUGAGGCGCGAAAGCUAGGGGAGCAAACGGG
rnacentral:rRNA from 1 species